AUACGGAGGGUGCAAGCGUUGUUCGGAAUUACUGGGCGUAAAGCGCGCGUAGGUGGUCUGUUAUGUCAGAUGUGAAAGUCCACGGCUCAACCGUGGAAGUGCAUUUGAAACCGGCAGACUUGAGUACUGGAGGGGGUAGUGGAAUUCCCGGUGUAGAGGUGAAAUUCGUAGAUAUCGGGAGGAAUACCGGUGGCGAAGGCGACUACCUGGCCAGAUACUGACACUGAGGUGCGAAAGCGUGGGGAGCGAACAGGAUUAGAAACCCUAGUAGUCC
rnacentral:rRNA from 1 species